CUUACAAUCAAUCAUCACUACAGUCAUAAUCAAAAGUAAGUACACCUUCAUUUCUAUCAGAACUUCUUUCCUUCCUCAUGAAGAUUUUAUCAACCUGCCUCUGAUUUCACCUCAGAGCUUCUACUUCCUGUUUCUGCUGCUCUGAAAGAAGAAACUACAAAUCAGGUGAGCCGUGACGUCAUCAUUCACGCAACAUCCGUCACAUUUACUUCGGUUUGAAUUAACCUGUUUAGAUGUAGUUGCUCCAGUCCGGUUUUUUUUGCGUCUCAGCUUGUUUUUAAAAUGUUCUUCUUGAACUCUUUGGUUCGUUUGAACAAACUGUAGAAAGUGUGUGUGAGCUGAUGUGAAUUCAGCAGCAUGGAUCAGUGUGAGGACAGACAGGAGGGAGUCCCUCCCUCUAAAACCACUCAGUGUGGGGAAGAUGAGAGCCAGAGCAAAGGUCAGAGGAUCCAUCAGAGACUCAGACCAGAACCAGAACCAGAACCAGAACCAGGACCCAGCUGUGUGUCCUUUAAGAGCGAUGGGUCAAAGGAUGACUUCAUUAAUUUUAAGUCUCCUGGAUCUCCACCAUCAUGGAGGUGAGCUGUUUCUACCUGCUGUAACUGUUUAUAUCUGUCAUUGUGGCCAUGAGACGAUACCAAGUUCUGUUGGGCUCUGUUGUCAUGGAAACAUUUGACAGAAUUUCAGGU